GCUAAGCUGCCUUCCACUAUUGCUCCUGUGACCCUCACCCUGGGCAGCCUGCUGGAUGACCAGCACUGGCAUUCCGUCCUCAUCGAGCUCCUCCACACGCAGGUCAACUUCACUGUGGACAAACACACUCAUCAUUUCCAAGCAAAGGGAGAUUCCAGUAACUUGGAUCUUAAUUUUGAGAUCAGCUUUGGGGGAAUUCCGACACCCGGAAGAUCGCGGGCAUUCACACGUAAAAGCUUUCAUGGGUGUUUAGAAAAUCUUUAUUAUAAUGGAGUGGAUGUUACCGAAUUAGCCAAGAAACACAAACCACAGAUCCUCAUGAUGGGAAAUGUGUCCUUCUCAUGUCCACAGCCACAGACUGUCCCUGUGACUUUUCUGAGCUCCAGGAGUUAUCUGGCUCU
rnacentral:lncRNA from 1 species